UACGUAGGGUGCAAGCGUUGUCCGGAAUUAUUGGGCGUAAAGAGCUUGUAGGCGGUUUGUCGCGUCUGCUGUGAAAUUUCGGGGCUCAACCCCGAACUUGCAGUGGGUACGGGCAGACUAGAGUGUGGGAGGGGAGACUGGAAUUCCUGGUGUAGCGGUGAAAUGCGUAGAUAUCAGGAGGAACACCUGUGGUGAAGACAGGUUUCUGGACCAUAACUGACGCUGAGGCACGAAAGCGUGGGGAGCAAACAGG
rnacentral:rRNA from 1 species